UAAUUCAUGUGAAAUAAUCUAAAAUAAAGUAAUUAUUUUAUUUGUAUUUAAGGAAUUGAAAUAUAACAGCCGAGAAAGUUUAAAUGUUUGAUGGAAUAAAAAGAAAAAGCCAUGUAGCAAUAACCGUUUGCUCUCCAAAAGCUUAAGGUAGCUACUAGAUAAGGGUAUUUUUGAUAUAUCUAUUCAAUGCUUCUCCACACAUUUGGGUUCGGGACUUGUUGAUUGGCUUAAGGCAUGCAUGAACUUGAAUUAAAUAGAAGGAAAAUUCAAAUAACGCUGC
rnacentral:lncRNA from 1 species